rnacentral:rRNA from 1 species
ACAGAGGUGGCGAGCGUUGUUCGGAAUUACUGGGCGUGAAGGGCGCGUAGGCGGUCCGAUAAGUCCCGUGUGAAAUCCCUCGGCUCAACUGAGGAAUGGCACGGGAAACUGACGGGCUUGAGUUCGGGAGAGGGAAGCGGAAUUCCAGGUGUAGCGGUGAAAUGCGUAGAUAUCCGGAGGAACACCGGUGGCGAAGGCGGCUUCCUGGACCGACACUGACGCUGAGGCGCGAAAGCUAGGGGAGCAAACGGGA